CUCCGCCUCAGUGGCUGGUGAGGCACAACCAAAAUGGAGGACCCCAUAUGCCUGAACACCCAGGGAAAACCUGAUACCAUGAUCCCAGUGAGUGUUACCCAUAAGCUAAAAAUCCAGAAGUUUAAAGAUCCUGAUUUCUAAUCUUGGGUUGUGACUUCAGCAGACAGGUUGAAUGCAACAUACCAAUGGACAUGUAAGACCACCUACUCAUUGGGCCCUACCAUCUCUAUUAAUAACCUUAUCUUGGAAAAUUCCAGCUGUAAAGCUCAUGGACUGGAUAAAUCAGGAAUGCUGGAAAAAGGUCACCCUUCCAUAUAUGUCCAAAUCAGAGUAACCCAGCACUGAAAGACAACAAAGAACAGUGACUGCUGGCCUUUCACCAUUUU